AUGCCCCUGCGGUGUUCGUGAUGGGCCUGAUAAGCCUGAUCCAACACCCAAAAAGCGGGAAUCGCCCAUGCUUUCUGGCGAGCCUUUUAAAAGGCCCGAUGAAAGCAAUCUGAUGCCCACCUGUAAAACAGGUUCAAGGCUACCUGUCCACACGGCAUCUUGCGGGGGCCUU
rnacentral:other from 1 species